GACGAACGCUGGCGGCGUGCUUAACACAUGCAAGUCGAACGGAAAGGCCCAUCUUGCGGGGUGAGUGGCUGACGAACGAGUGAGUAACGCGUAAGUUGUCUCCGCCUCUCGGCGAACUAAGCGUGGGAGAGUGGGACUCAUACCGUACAGGACAAUCGUCUAGUGUCGGUGUGGGAAAGGUUUUUCGGUUGGGGAUGGGCCCGCGGCCUAUCAGCUUGUUGGUGGGGUAAUGGCCUACCAAGGCGUCGACGGGUAGCCGGCCUGAGAGGGUGGCCGGCCACAUUGGGACUGAGAUACGGCCCAGACUCCUACGGGAGGCAGCAGUGGGGAAUAUUGCACAAUGGGCGGAAGCCUGAUGCAGCGACGCCGCGUGGGGGAUGACGGCCUUCGGGUUGUAAACCUCUUUCGGCAGGGACGAAGCGUUGGUGACGGUACCUGUAUAAGAAGCACCGGCUAACUACGUG
rnacentral:rRNA from 1 species